GACGAACGCUGGCGGCGUGCUUAACACAUGCAAGUCGAACGGUAAGGCCCUUCGGGGUACACGAGUGGCGAACGGGUGAGUAACACGUGGGUGAUCUGCCCUGCACUUCGGGAUAAGCCUGGGAAACUGGGUCUAAUACCGGAUAGGACCACUGCCUGCAUGGGUGGUGGUGGAAAGCUUUUGCGGUGUGGGAUGGGCCCGCGGCCUAUCAGCUUGUGGGUGGGGGGAUGGCCUACUAAGGCGACGACGGGUAGCCGGCCUGAGAGGGUGACCGGCCACACUGGGACUGAGAUCCGGCCCAGACUCCUACGGGAGGCAGCAGUGGGGAGUAUUGCACAAUGGGCGCAAGCCUGAUGCAGCGACGCCGCGUGAGGGAUGACGGCCUUCGGGUUGUAAACCUCUUUCAGCGCCGACGAAGCGCAAGUGACGGUAGGUGCAGAAGAAGGACCGGCCAACUACGUGCCAGCCGCCGCGGUAA
rnacentral:rRNA from 1 species